UUAAACUUUAAUUUGCUAAAUGCAAAAAGAGAUCUUAAAACUGUGUACAUCACUUCUACAUGCCAUUUGUAUAAAGCAUUUCUUUGAAGCUUCAGCCUUCUGGAGGUUGUGCAGAGGAUGCUUAGUGACAAUCUAAAUCUCAUUCUUUGUUGCAAUCAUAAUAGCGUCAAGAUAUGUGUUUCCGUCAGGACCACCACUAUUUGCUUUUUAAAUUGAUCUCAAAUGCAUUAUUAUAAUUUCAGCUGUUCUAACCUUUUAAAUACUUGAAACUCCUGUGAGUUUAAUCGCAGUUAAAUAACAUGGAGAUCUGCUAUUUUUGCAUUUAAAAUGUAAUUCAUAUUAAUGUUGGAUGCUGAUAUCUUUAUCGAAGCAUUAUUUCUUAAGUCCCAGAAAAGGAAAGCAAAUACUUCUCUGUUGCAACUCACUGUCUCACUGACAUGAUUGAAAACCUUUAAAGGGCCGUUAAUGCUUUCUCAACUUGGGUUUCACUUCCAUCUCUAUUUGCUUGCUGCUGAUACAUUUUGCUAUUCUG
rnacentral:misc_RNA from 1 species